CCUACGGGAGGCUGCAGUGAGGAAUAUUGGUCAAUGGGCGUAAGCCUGAACCAGCCAAGUCGCGUGAGGGAUGAAGGUUCUAUGGAUCGUAAACCUCUUUUAUAAGGGAAUAAAGUGUGGGACGUGUCCUAUUUUGUAUGUAUCUUAUGAAUAAGGAUCGGCUAACUCCGUGCCAGCAGCCGCGGUAAUACGGAGGAUCCGAGCGUUAUCCGGAUUUAUUGGGUUUAAAGGGUGCGUAGGCGGCCGUUUAAGUCAGCGGUGAAAGUCUGUGGCUCAACCAUAGAAUUGCCGUUGAUACUGGGGGGCUAGAGUGUGUUUGAGGCAGGGGGAAUGCGUGGUGUAGCGGUGAAAUGCUUAGAUAUCACGCAGAACCCCGAUUGCGAAGGCAGCUUACCAAGCCAUGACUGACGCUGAGGCACGAAAGCGUGGGGAUCAAACAGGAUUAGAUACCCUAGUAGUC
rnacentral:rRNA from 1 species